rnacentral:rRNA from 1 species
GACGAACGCUGGCGGCGUGCCUAAUACAUGCAAGUCGAACGCUGAAGAGAGGAGCUUGCUCUUCUUGGAUGAGUUGCGAACGGGUGAGUAACGCGUAGGUAACCUGCCUUGUAGCGGGGGAUAACUAUUGGACACGAUAGCUAAUACCGCAUAACAAUGGAUUACACAUGUCGUUUAUUUGAAAGGGGCAAUUGCUCCACUACAAGAUGGACCUGCGUUGUAUUAGCUAGUAGGUGAGGUAAUGGCUCACCUAGGCGACGAUACAUAGCCGACCUGAGAGGGUGAUCGGCCACACUGGGACUGAGACACGGCCCAGAGGCCUACGGGAGGCAGCAGUAGGGAAUCUUCGGCAAUGGGGGCAACCCUGACCGAGCAACGCCGCGUGAGUGAAGAAGGUUGUCGGAUCGUAAAGCUCUGUUGUAAGUCAAGAACGGGUGUGAGAGUGGAAAGUUCACACUGUGACGGUAGCUGACCAGAAAGGGACGGCUAACUACGUG